rnacentral:lncRNA from 1 species
GUUGGAGGCAGCAUGUGACUCCCAGGGCUACGUGGGCUCAAAAACAAUUUAAAUACAAAAACACAAGCAGGUUCCCCUCCUCUCCUUUGCCUUUUGGUCUGGCUCUCCCUUCCCUUUGGGUUGGCGCCGGCCUAAAUGGAAAACCCGUCGUCUUGCCUGCGCUAACCUGUGAGCACCGGGUACCUGGAGGCCAAGGCCCCUCUGCUGGGGGGGGGGCGGUCCCCCGGGAGCUGUACCCCAUCAUUCCGCAGCCCGGAAGUCUAAGUCCUCUUCUCAAAGAGCAAUCAAGCGCCCCCCACUGCUGCUCCCACUGGUUGCCUCCUUAUCUACCUUCUCAAGCAGAAAAAGAAAGCCAGAAAAAAAGGAAGAAAAAUACUGUACUCAAAAGAGCGCCAAUACCUACUUUUAUAAUGGCAGCAACAACAAAGAUGAAAGAAAAUGGAAGAAGAAUACAUACCAUGUUCAUCAAUAAGAAGAUUUAAUGGUGUGAAAAUACAUAUUCUCCCUAAAUUAACCUUUAUUUUUAACUUUAUGUCAAUAAAAAUACAUUAUGAGGUUUUUAUGAAAGUAGACAGAGUCUAAAGUUCAAAUGGAAAAAUAAACAAGUGAGGCUAGCCAGGAAAAUUCUGAAGAAGAAAAGUAAUAGAGAGGGAGGUGGGAGGGGGAUCGGGAUGGGGAAUACGUGUAAAUCUAUGGCUGAUUCAUAUCAAUGUAUGACAAAACCCACUGAAAUGUGAAGUAAUUAGCCGCCAACUAAUUAAAAAAAAAAAAGAAAAGUAAUAAAGAAGGAUUAACCCGAGUAUGGUGGUGGUUUAGUCACUAAGUUGUGCCCAACUCUUCGUGACCCUAGUAUGCACUGAAGCAUACUAUAAAGCUGCAUUUAUGAAAAAUGUUUGGUACUGGUACAUGAAAAGAAAGAUUAAUGAAACAGGUUAGAAUUCAGAAACAGAUUAAGUACAUUUUAGAAGCUAGUGUAUGGUAAAGCUGUAUUUCAAAUCAGGGAGGAAAGAAAUAAAAUCAUACAAUGUAGUCAUCGGUUCUCGGGUAAUUGCCUAGCCAUUUAAGAAAACAUAAAGCUGGGUGCUUAUCUGAUUCCUUACACCAGAUACAUUCCAGAUGAAUAAACAAUUUAAAUGUAAAUAAGUGAAAUAAAGAAUAAGAAAACAUGGGCAUGUGUACACACACAUAUAAUUUUGAAUUGAAGAAAAUCUUUCUAAGCAAGCUGCAAAACUCAGAAGCUGAGUAGGAAUAAAACGACCACAUAAAAAUCAAAAUAGCUGCAUAAUAUAAAACAGCAUAGAGUACGUUAAAAGAUAGAUAACACACUAGAAAAAAGUGAAAAAAAAUUCAGACUACCAAAACCCCCCCCCAAUUUCUUUAAUAUCAAAGAGCUUAUAAAUAAAAGAGAAAAUAUGAAUAGCUUAAAAUUGGACAAAGGAUGUGAACAUGUAGUUCACAAAAGAGAAAUCCAAAUUGCUUAUAAACACUUAAAAAGUCUCUCAACCUCACUAGUGUCUAAAGAAAUAUACAUUAAAAUGAGAUAACAGGUUGACAAAGAUCAAAAGUGUUGAUAUGGUUAAUUCAUGUUGAUAUAUGAUAGAAAUCAAAC